ACGAUUUUUCGGUCUAUGGCCCC
rnacentral:snRNA from 1 species